AGUCCCAAAGCAAGGUGUCAGCAGGCCAUAUUCCCUUUGAAACCUCUAUGAGAGAUUCUUUCUGGACCUUCCCAGGUUUUGGCAGCACCAAGCUUUCUUUAGCAUCACUCCCAACUCCACCCAGCCCUCUCUCCACUUCCCUCCCUCUUCUUACAAGAACACAACACUUAUAAGAACACUACUCUGGGCAGGGAGGCAGGAGUUCCUCUCUCAGCGGACUGUGACUGAGUCAAGGAAAGCAAGGUGCCAUUUCUAAAGGGAAUUGCUGAUUCUGGUGAGCUAGAAAUCUCCCUACUCUCAUUUGGCUACAGUUUCCAACAGGUCCCCACAAGAUACCUCCACUUACGAGCAUCUGCAUCAGCAUGGAUCAGUUUCCAGGGAAAGUUAUUCACCAAGACAUCAGGCCCUAGACCUUAGUGGCUAGCCAGGCAGCCGACCCAUCCAUGGUGGCUGGCUCUCUCAUUUCAGCCUUUUGAUAACCCAGUCUCUAACCAGCAGUCGGCACCUGGGCUGUGGACCUGUGGUCAGACUGAGCAAGACCACCUGUGUACCCACGAUCCUCCCUGACAGAGCCGAGGCAGACACACACAUGGCAGAAGAACACACACUAAGAAGCCCAAAGAUAUCCAACAGACGCUGGCAAAGGCCAACUGUGGUAUGGACCACAAUUACCUACACCAAGAGCCACAGUCACAUGUUGCAGGUUAACCUGCAAGGAGCAUAUAGAGACUAUAGUACAAAGGGCAGAAGUGGCCCAAUGACAACAGUACAGAAGAAGUUUGGAUCACUGGUGCCCAACAGAUACUGAAAGACCCUGAGAGAGCACCACAGACAGACCAGCACCCAUAAACCCAACAAUUUAAAUAAAAUGGACCAAUUCCUUGAAAAGUGCAAAUUACCCAAACUGCUCUAUUCAAGAAGUUGAACUUGUAGUUAAAAGGUCCCUUCAAAGAAAACUCCAUACUCAGAUCGUUUCAUUGGCAACAACUACCAAAUAUUUAAGAAAAAAAAAAUGAUACCAAUUCUAGACAAUCUUUCAAAACACCACAAGAGGAGGGACAAUUGCCAAUUCAUUUUAUGAUGUUAGCAGUACCCUUAUUAACACCAAAGAGAACUACAAACUAAUAAUCCUCAUAAACACAGGUGUAAAAAUCCUACAUAGAGUAUUAGCAAUUUGUAACCAUUAACACAUAAAAACAAAUCUAUGCCAUGCCCAAGAAAGGACUUAGCCCAGGAAUGCAUUAAAAAAAAAAAAAAAAAUCAAUCAACAUAAUACAUUAUAUCAACAAA